UACGAAGGACCCGAGCGUUAUCCGGAUUUAUUGGGUUUAAAGGGUGCGUAGGCGGGUUGGUAAGUCCGUGGUGAAAUCCCCAAGCUUAACUUGGGAACUGCCGUGGAUACUAUCAAUCUUGAAUAUCGUGGAGGUAAGCGGAAUAUGUCAUGUAGCGGUGAAAUGCUUAGAUAUGACAUAGAACACCAAUUGCGUAGGCAGCUUACUACACGAUCAUUGACGCUGAGGCACGAAAGCGUGGGGAGCAAACAGG
rnacentral:rRNA from 1 species